rnacentral:rRNA from 1 species
GUGGGGAAUAUUGGACAAUGGGCGAAAGCCUGAUCCAGCAAUGCCGCGUGAGUGAUGAAGGCCUUAGGGUUGUAAAGCUCUUUUACCCGGGAUGAUAAUGACAGUACCGGGAGAAUAAGCUCCGGCUAACUCCGUGCCAGCAGCCGCGGUAAUACGGAGGGGGCUAGCGUUGUUCGGAAUUACUGGGCGUAAAGCGAGUGUAGGCGGUUGUUCAAGUCAGGUGUGAAAGCCUUGAGCUCAACUCAAGACAUGCACUUGAUACUGGAUGACUAGAGGACCGGAGAGGAUAGUGGAAUUCCCAGUGUAGUGGUGAAAUACGUAGAGAUUGGGAAGAACACCAGUGGCGAAGGCGGCUAUCUGGACGGUUACUGACGCUAAGACUCGAAAGCGUGGGGAGCAAAC